UAUACUACACCACUUCCUCCUAUUCAGUAUUACAUUAUUAGUGUAUACAAUACAUCAAACAGUAUUAUAUACACUAAUAAUACAACUAAUACUAAUAUUACUAUCACUGGACUACCUCUUACUGAUACAAACUACACUGUUACUAUCAUUCCUGUUAAUGUUAUUGGAUAUGGACCAUCAGCUACUGUUAAUGUCAGUAUAACUAAUGCAAUGACCAGUAGUUCAAUUACAAGUAUAUUAUCAGUUACAUUAACUACUGAUAUUAGUACCAGUACACCAUUAAUUUAUAUAUCAUCUACUUCAAAUAUAGUUACAAAAACCUCCAGUACUGAUUCAUCAUACACACUGUCAGUUGAUCCAUCAACAACCACCAUUGAACUCACUCCUACAACUACAUUUACUAGCACACAAUCAACUACUACUACUAUUACUACUGACUCUGCUACUGGUUCUAAUGCUGUUCCUAUUAUAUCAGGAGCUAUUGGAACAGUAUUUUUUAUAAUAAUAAUUAUUAUUAUUAUAUUGGUAAUAGUAUUACUAGUACUGGCAAUCAAGAAACAAAGAAG